rnacentral:rRNA from 1 species
UUGUAGCUUGCUAUGGUAUAACUUAGUGGCAGACGGGUGAGUAAUGUAUAGGAAUCUACCUAGUAGUACGGAAUAAUUGUUGGAAACGGCAACUAAUACCGUAUACGCCCUACGGGGGAAAAAUUUAUUGCUAUUAGAUGAGCCUAUAUUAGAUUAGCUAGUUGGUGGAGUAAUAGCCUACCAAGGCAAUGAUCUAUAGCUGAUCUGAGAGGAUGAUCAGCCACACUGGAACUGAGAUACGGUCCAGACUCCUACGGGAGGCAGCAGUGGGGAAUAUUGGACAAUGGGCGAAAGCCUGAUCCAGCCAUGCCGCAUGAGUGAAGAAGGCCUUUGGGUUGUAAAGCUCUUUUAGUGAGGAAGAUAAUGACGGUACUCACAGAAGAAGUCCUGGCUAACUCCGUGCCAGCAGCCGCGGUAAUACGGAGAGGGCUAGCGUUAUUCGGAAUUAUUGGGCGUAAAGGGCGCGUAGGCGGAUUAGUAAGUUAAAAGUGAAAUCCCAAGGCUCAACCUUGGAAUUGCUUUUAAAACUGCUAAUCUAGAGAUUGAAAGAGGAUAGAGGAAUUCCUAGUGUAGAGGUGAAAUUCGUAAAUAUUAGGAGGAACACCAGUGGCGAAGGCGUCUAUCUGGUUCAAAUCUGACGCUGAGGCGCGAAGGCGUGGGGAGCAAACAGGAUUAGAUACCCUGGUAGUCCACGCUGUAAACGAUGAAUGUUAAAUAUGGGAAGUUUUACUUUCUGUAUUACAGCUAACGCGUUAAACAUUCCGCCUGGGGACUACGGUCGCAAGAUUAAAACUCAAAGGAAUUGACGGGGACCCGCACAAGCGGUGGAGCAUGUGGUUUAAUUCGAUGCAACGCGAAAAACCUUACCACUCCUUGACAUGGAAAUCAUACCUAUUC